rnacentral:ncRNA from 1 species
AAACGACAAAGGCUAACUCCGGGUGAUCGGGGGGCGCAAAGUAGAGGAUCUUUAUCGCUUACGACUGCUAUAGAACUGUGUGGAAAGGGAAAAUUCCUGAACCGUUCAAUUGUAUAGCUUCGGAAAAAGACAGCCCUACUGCCAAA